rnacentral:rRNA from 1 species
UACGUAGGGUGCAAGCGUUUGUCCGGAAUUAUUGGGCGUAAAGAGCUCGUAGGCGGUUUGUUGCGUCGGCUGUGAAAUCCCGAGGCUCAGCCUCGGGUCUGCAGUCGAUACGAGCAAACUAGAGUGUUGCAGGGGAGACUGGAAUUCCUGGUGUAGCGGUGAAAUGCGCAGAUAUCAGGAGGAACACCGGUGGCGAAGGCGGAUCUCUGGGCCAUUACUGACGCUGGAGGAGCGAAAAGCGUGGGGGAGCGAAACAGG